rnacentral:tRNA from 1 species
GCCCUAGUAGCUCAAUUGGAUUGAGCAGUCCCGUCCUAAGGGAAAGAUUGGGGGUUCGAGUCCCUCCUAGGGCACCA